rnacentral:lncRNA from 1 species
GUGGUCAUUCGUUGGUGGUGCUUUGUUUCUAUGUCUACUAUAUGGAUGUUGGUGAUUGAUGUAAUGGUAGUAGUAUUUGGUUUUGCAAGGAAGAUGGGGACAUGAAGAGGAAGCAUUUAUGAGUAGCAAAAAGUGGGUACGGGAGUGGGUAAUUAAGAAAAAAUGUAUACUUUAUAUCAGAAAAGAAAAAGGACAUGAAAACAUGAAUUUAAAUUGAGAUGAAAAUUUAGUAAAGAAAGUGAGAAGUUAGUGAUAAGAUUUGCCUACCCUCCUAGUGCAAGCAAGAAAAGCUGUGUAAGCAACUUGAAACCAAAUGAUGGG